rnacentral:rRNA from 1 species
GACGAACGCUGGCGGCGUGCUUAACACAUGCAAGUCGAACGGAAAGGCGCUGCUUUUGUGGGGUGCUCGAGUGGCGAACGGGUGAGUAACACGUGAGUAACCUGCCCUUGACUUUGGGAUAACUUCAGGAAACUGGGGCUAAUACCGGAUAGGAGCUCCUGCUGCAUGGUGGGGGUUGGAAAGUUUCGGCGGUUGGGGAUGAACUCGCGGCUUAUCAGCUUGUUGGUGGGGUAGUGGCUUACCAAGGCUUUGACGGGUAGCCGGCCUGAGAGGGUGACCGGCCACAUUGGGACUGAGAUACGGCCCAGACUCCUACGGGAGGCAGCAGUGGGGAAUAUUGCACAAUGGGCGGAAGCCUGAUGCAGCAACGCCGCGUGCGGGAUGACGGCCUUCGGGUUGUAAACCGCUUUCGCCUGUGACGAAGCGUGAGUGACGGUAAUGGGUAAAGAAGCACCGGCUAACUACGUG